UUUUUUUAAGAAAUAGCUAAGAGUGAAUUAUUCAUUCAAGAAUUUGGAGCAAACAGAUUCAAAGUCUUCAUCCAGGUAUAUUCAAAAUUGUGAAAUUUAAUUUUUUUUUUAAUUAUUUUCAGAUUAGUUAAAUGUAUUGAGUUUGGACUGGAUUAUGUGUUGUGCUUAUUAUGUAUUAAACCGAAUUUGUUUGGACUGGAUUUUGUUUUUGUGCACAUUAUGUAUUAAAAUAGAAUUUGUUUAGAAAUUUAAUGUAUUAUAUAUUUAGAAUUUG
rnacentral:lncRNA from 1 species